rnacentral:rRNA from 1 species
AUAGUAAUCUGGUUGAUCCUGCCAGUAGUCAUAUGCUUGUCUCAAAGAUUAAGCCAUGCACGUCUAAGUAUAAAUGUUAUACAGUGAAACUGCGAAUGGCUCAUUAAAACAGUUAUAGUUUAUUUGAUAAUCGAAUUUUACAUGGAUACCCGUGGUAAUUCUAGAGCUAAUACAUGCUGUCUGCCUGACUUCUGGAAGGGCUGUAUUUAUUAGAUAACAAAUCAAUAUUCCUCGUGUCUAUUCUGAUGAUUCAUAAUAACUGAUCGGAUCGCAUGGGCUUUGCCAGCGACAAAUCAUUCAAGUUUCUGCCCCAUCAGCUUUCGAUGGUAGUGUAUUGGACUACCAUGGCUUUAACGGGUAACGGGGGAUUAGGGUUCGAUUCCGGAGAGGGAGCCUGAGAAACGGCUACCACAUCUAUGGAAGGCAGCAGGCGCGUAAAUUACCCAAUCCUAAUUCAGGGAGGUAGUGACAAGAAAUAACGGACCGGAGCUUUUGUUCCGGGAUUGCAAUGAGUUGAAUUUAAACCCCUUGACGAGGAUCAAUUGGAGGGCAAGUCUGGUGCCAGCAGCCGCGGUAAUUCCAGCUCCAAUAGCAUAUAUUAAAGUUGUUGCAGUUAAAAAGCUCGUAGUUGGAUUUCUGGGAGGGAACUGAUGUCCGCUUGUUAGCGUGUGCAAAAGUUCCCUCCCAUCCUUCUGUUAACGAUUCUUGGUAUUCACUUACUGGUUUCGAGCU